UUGGAACAUGACUACAGUAUAUGCUGCCACCUUUUGGACAAAUAAGUGACUGACUGAGUACCUCCAGCUGCUGGACUGAGAAAAUUACAAUUACUUUUAUUAGUAAAAAGCCUACUUUCUUGGGAUAUUUCUCUUUGGCCAGUCUGACAAAGUCCUCAGCACUGUCCAGUGACACCAGGCGGUCCUGAAAGAAAGAUGGAAGCAGAUGAAUAAAACAGGUGAAAUCAGAUGGUAGAGACACUUAACAACAACAGUGAGGGGAGAUAAGGGAAGAGAGGAGGGAAAGACUGGUGACCUGAAGAUGGGAACAUGUGAAAGCAUACUGUAGUUUUAAAAUUAGAUCAAAAUGUGCCCUAAUUAAACUCGUCAUGACUGGUA